ACAGCAGCCGCCGCGUUAAUACGUAGGCCCCGAGCGUUGUCCGGAUUUAUUGGGCGUAAAGCGAGCGCAGGCGGUUAGAUAAGUCUGAAGUUAAGGGCUGUGGCUUAACCAUAGUAUGCUUUGGAACCUGUUUAACUUGAGUGCUAGAGGGGAGAGUGGAAUUCCAUGUGUAGCGGUGAAAUGCGUAGAUAUAUGGAGGAACACCGGUGGCGAAAGCGGCUCUCUGGCUUGUAACUGGCGCUGAGGCUCGAAAGCGUGGGGAGCAAACAGGAUUAGAUACCCCCGUAGUCCCUGUCUCUUAUACA
rnacentral:rRNA from 1 species